rnacentral:rRNA from 1 species
GACGAACGCUGGCGGCGUGCCUAAUACAUGCAAGUCGAGCGAAGCGGCGGAUGGGUGAGUAACGCGUGGGUAACCUGCCCUUAAGUCUGGGAUACCAUUUGGAAACAGAUGCUAAUACCGGAUACUAAAGGCUGGACCUGCGAUGCAUUAGCUAGUGGGUAAGGUAACGGCUUACCCAGGCGAUGAUGCAAAGCCGAGUUGAGAGACUGAUCGGCCAGAUUGGGACUGAGACACGGCCCAAACUCCUACGGGAGGCAGCAGUGGGAAAUAUUGCGCAAUGGGCGCAAGCCUGAUGCAGCCAUGCCGCGGGUAUUAAGAAGGCCUUCGGGUUGUAAAGUACGUUCAGCGAGGAGGCGUUACUCGCAGAAGAAGCACCGGCUAACUCCGUGCCAGCCGCCGCGGUAAUUC